rnacentral:tRNA from 1 species
GGCCGCGUAGCUUAGUGGAAAAAGCGUCAGACUUCUAAUCUGAAGAUCGUGGUUUCGAAUACCACCGUGGUCG